GACGAACGCUGGCGGCGUGCCUAAUACAUGCAAGUCGAACGCAGGGGGGACGGGUGAGGAACACGUGGGUAACCUCCCAUCAGAGGGGAUAAAACUUGGAAACAGGUGCUAAACCGAUAUUGGUGGAUGGACUCGGGGUGCAUUAGGUAGUUGGUGAGGUAACGGCUCACCAAGGCCACGAUGCAUAGCCGAUCUGAGAGGUUGAUCGGCCACACUGGGACUGAGACACGGCCCAGACUCCUACGGGAGGCAGCAGUAGGGAAUCUUCGGCAAUGGACGAAAGCCUGACCGAGCAACGCCGCGUGAGUGAAGAAGGUUUUCGGAUCGUAAAAUACUUUUGUCAGAGAAGCGGUAUCCAACCAGAAAGCCACGGCUAACUACGUGCCAGCAGCCGCGGUAAUUC
rnacentral:rRNA from 1 species